GAAAAAUACCACGUGAGCUUCACGGUCUGUUGUCUCUGUGCCUCUUAUCUGGGUGCAGGAGAGGAAUCUUAAAACGUAGGCAACGUGCAUUUGGGCUCGGUGCGAAGUAUUGGCACUGUCAUUUCAUUGCUUUUAUGUCUGAGAUGUGAUUCCUUCCUUUUUAUCACAGCUAAAAGAAUGGUAGGUCCUGCGAGGCAGUCUCUUUUGUCUCACCUAAAUUGCUUUUACCUAAAUUACCAAUCUGACAGAAAGAACAAUUUUUAGGGGCAAUAUUCUGAAUUUUUAGGGAAGAGCUGUGGAGAAAGAGGUCCUUUUAUCUUCAGUGAGACCGUGUGGGUCAUGGGGGGUGGCGGGAGGUGGCUGCAGCCCUUUCCUGUGCCCACUAGUACGGGAGGAGGGCCCUUCCCUCCUGCCGAAAGCUGGAGCUCCAGCUGUGAGCACAGAGGACUGGUGUUAAUUAGAAAGCAGAAGUUGUUUGGAGGGUCAAAGGUGAGGGGAACUCUUGUCUUCCUGUCAGAGCAGUUUUAUUUGUCAUGUGCCGUCAGAUAAGUUGGAUAACACAGGGGGAAGACUGUGUGGACUCUCUAAGAGCAUGCAUUAGACCCACUAAGAGCUGGUAUUGGACCCAUGGGUUUUUCUUGUCUGAUGCACUCCUUCUGUCUCUGCUGGUGUGUGGUGGCUGUGCGGGGUGAGGCUGUCAGUGGGGACAGCUCCUUCCCUCAGGAGUUCAGAACACAGCGCUGCUCACAUGCUGUGCUUUUCGGGCUUUGAACCUCCGCCUAAUUCUGACUUAUUUUCCCUGAUGCAAUGAUUCUUCGCCCCUGAAAGGAUAAGCAGCAACACCAAUGUAUUGCCUGCUUUGUUCUAGCCAUGGAGAAACGUGGCAGUGGCUGUUCUGCCUGUUUGUAGAACAGUGGAAACAAAAGCAAAAUGCUUGAGUAAAAUGAGCAAAAAGGAAAACGAAAUGUACGGUAAAUCCUUCUUACCUUUCUACAUACAGUCUGUGAGCGCAGUAUGCAUUGGGCUCAUGGUGGGUAGGGUUGGGCAUGCAUUUGCAAGGAGAGGAGGUCACCUGCAAUUGGUAACGCUGUUAUUAGGCUGAAAUGAAACAGGGAGAUGAAAGCUGUGUGGCUUUGGGUUUGAGUUUUGUUGGUUUGUUGCUGUUGCGGUGUGAUUGUUUGGUUGGUCUCACUGCCUUCUGUCCUGCAAAGACCUGCAUGUCUUAUCUGAGCCUUUGUUGCUUUGGACAGUUUGUGUCCUUCUUACCAGCUGUUGAUCUCUUUGGAUUAAGUUAUGCUGGCUUAAC
ensembl:lncRNA